rnacentral:rRNA from 1 species
GGGUCAGCAGGUCGGUCGUGCCACUGGUAUGAACUGGUCUCGCUGAUCCCUCCCUCUUGACGAACUGUGAUGCCAUUAAUUUGGUGUCGCAGGGAAUCAGGACUGUUACUUUGAAAAAUUAGAGUGUUUAAAGCAGGCUUUCGCUUGAAUACAUUAGCAUGGAAUAAUGAAAUAGGACGUUUGAUCCUAUUUUGUUGGUUUCUAGGAUUGACGUAAUGAUUAAUA